CUCAUAAUUAACAUUUGGGGCUUAUGCACGUUUGAACCAAACUGACUUCACAUGUGACUGCAGCGAUUUACUUAUUUAAAGGCAUUCGCCUCUGAACUCGGAAGAUAAUUAAAACCAAGCUGAAAUAAGUCCACGUUCUACUUAACGAGAAUGCAUAAUGUAGGUUUGAGUAUAUUCACGUGGGUGAAACGGAACCAUACAACUGAGGGGCUAAAUCACGUCACGUAUUAAACUCGACGAGUUAAGACAGGCUAAGCUCUUCUCAAACUAAUCACGCAUCAGGAAUGAAAACAUCUUUUUUUGCCUUGUAGCCAAUUUAAAAGUUUGUAGACCCUGGUAACCUUCAACACCGUGUGCCGAAAUAGCUCAGUUGGGAGAGCGUUAGACUGAAGAUCUAAAGGUCCCUGGUUCGAUCCCGGGUUUCGGCAUUUUGAUGCAACCGUGUAUUUGGGUGUGUCGGCUUUCCACCCGGCGGGGAGUAAAACGUACAAGAACGUUUUACCGUUUUAACCCUUCACACACGGUUUGUGUCAAAUGUGACCUAAUUUUACAUUUGACAGCAGUAAAAAUACCUUAAAAAUGUGAAUCUAUUAGCCUGAAAUGUGCUGCAAACUGUGUCGAGGCUGUUUAGGGUCAAAUUCAAAUUUUAUUUGUCACGUACACAGUCAUACACAGUACGAUAUGUAGUGAAAUGCUUGGACAACUGCUCGUGACCUAAAGAAAACAAAAAAAGGAAAGGCUAUGAAUAAGAUAGGAAAUAAAUAUGAAAAAUUAAAAAGGGUAAAUUUAACUAGGAAGGAAUAAAAUAUAAAUUAAGGUUAAAAAUGAAAUAACUGUACAACACAAAUUAGAAUGAAGGGUAAAUUUAACUGGGAAAGAAUAAGAUAAAAUAUAUAAAUUAAAGUUAAAAAUGAAAUAACUGUACAACACAAAUUAGAAUGAAGGGUAAAUUUAACUGGGAAAGAAUAAGAUAAAAUAUAUAAAUUAAAGUUGAAAAUAAAAUAACUGUACAACAAAAUACACAAUAUAGAACUAUAUAAGAAUGUAUGAAGAAAUCUAAAUAUAAAUAAAUAUAUACACAAUAACAGCAGCGUGAUUUAAGUAAUGAAGUGAAACAAUGUUCAGAAAGUCCAGUGUGUGUGUAAGAACCAUAUGUGUGGGUCAGUACUGUGUGGUGGUGUGAUUGAGAGACCGUAUCGCCUGCGGGAAGAAGCUCCUCCUCAGUCUCUCUGUGUUGGUCUUCAG
ensembl:lncRNA